rnacentral:tRNA from 1 species
AGUAUCAAGCCGGAUUAACGGAUUACCCUGAUGAGGUAAAACAUGAGACAACAACCCCUGAUACUU